GACGAACGCUGGCGGCGUGCUUAACACAUGCAAGUCGAGCGAUGAAGCUUCUUCGGCAGUGGAUUAGCGGCGGACGGGUGAGUAACACGUGGGUAACCUGCCUCAUAGAGGGGAAUAGCCUUCCGAACGGAAGAUUAAUACCGCAUAAGAUUGUAAUAUCGCAUGAUAUAGCAAUUAAAGGAGCAAUCCGCUAUGAGAUGGACCCGCGUCGCAUCAGCUAGUUGGUGGGGUAACGGCACACCAAGGCAACGAUGCGUAGCCGACCUGAGAGGGGGAUCGGCCACAGUGGGCCUGGGCCACGGCCCAGACUCCUACGGGAGGCAGCAGUGGGGAAUAUUGCACAAUGGGGGAAACCCUGAUGCGGCGACGCCGCGUGAGUGAUGACGGUCUUCGGAUUGUAAAGCUCUGUCUUUAGGGACGAUAAUGACGGUACCUAAGGAGGAAGCCACGGCUAACUACGUGCCAGCCGCCGCAGUAA
rnacentral:rRNA from 1 species